rnacentral:piRNA from 1 species
UCAUUUGCAUAUUAUAGCAAA